UACGUAGGGUGCAAGCGUUACUCGGAAUUACUGGGCGUAAAGCGUGCGCAGGCGGUUCGCUAAGACCGAUGUGAAAUCCCCGGGCUUAACCUGGGAACUGCAUUGGUGACUGGCGGGCUAGAGUAUGGGAGAGGGGGGUAGAAUUCCACGUGUAGCAGUGAAAUGCGUAGAGAUGUGGAGGAAUACCGAUGGCGAAGGCAGCCCCCUGGGCCAAUACUGACGCUCAUGCACGAAAGCGUGGGGAGCAAACAGG
rnacentral:rRNA from 1 species